GCCGUCCCCUCCUCUUAACUUUCAGGGUGUUAUUCAGAAGAAAAUAGUCAAAAUCAUGGAGGGAUGGCGAGCUAAAGCAUCAAAACAAACAACAUGGGAAAAGAGCCGAUAAUGAGAGUUGGAGCUAUAUUGCUUACCUUUCCAGUUCUUCCAGUACUGGUUGGAGGUGGAGAUGGUUGGGCUGCAGGUACUGGUAAUGUUGGCAACUUCUCAGGCUUCCCAAGUGCAGCAGGGUCGUAGAAAAGGUUUAUCUCAUACCGAAAAUUACAGCUGGGUGUAAUAAUUCUUCCUCCCUGCCUCUCAUCGCAACAUUGUGCAAGCAACCCAGUGGCCUGACUCAAGCAGUCGCUGCACUGCUGCUUAGACAAGUCAGGAGUACACUGCACGAGUGCAUAGAUUUUUUGAGAGGAGUUGGAUACAUCUGUGUCUCCCGUUGCAUACUUGUAACGAGAAUUGCCCGCUGCAGCUUGAUCUCUCAGCCUAUCUAACAAGGUCCUUCGAGACUGCUUGAAUACAAUUAAAUCUGAGACAUUAUUCAAGCUAUACACAAAAAAGUAAGGUA
rnacentral:misc_RNA from 1 species